UACAGAGGGUGCGAGCGUUGUCCGGAAUCACUGGGCGUAAAGGGCGCGUAGGCGGCGCGGUAAGCGUGCGGUGAAAGCCCGGGGCUCAACCGUGGAAGUGCCUUUGAUACUGGCCGUCUCGAGGGAGGUAGGGGCGUGCGGAACUUCCGGUGGAGCGGUGAAAUGCGUAGAUAUCGGAAGGAACACCGGUGGCGAAAGCGGCGCGCUGGACCUUUACUGACGCUGAGGCGCGAAAGCCAGGGGAGCAAACGGG
rnacentral:rRNA from 1 species